rnacentral:miRNA from 1 species
AGAGGAUGGAGCUGAAUGGGA